rnacentral:rRNA from 1 species
UCCGGUUGAUCCUGCCGGACCCCACUGCUAUCGGGGUGGGACUAAGACAUGCUAGUCGUGCGCCUCCAAGCCACGGUGGAGGCGCGGCGCACAGCUCAGUAACACGUGGCUAACCUACCCUUGGGACAGGGACAACCCCGGGAAACUGGGGCUAAUCCCCGAUAGGUGAGGACUCCUGGAAUGGGUCCUCGCUGAAAGGGCGUCUAGACCAUGCUUCUAGACGCUGCCCAAGGAUGGGGCCGCGGCCGAUCAGGUUGUUGGUGAGGUAACGGCUCACCAAGCCUAAGACCGGUACGGGCCGUGAGAGCGGGAGCCCGGAGAUGGACACUGAGACAAGGGUCCAGGCCCUACGGGGCGCAGCAGUCGCGAAACCUCCGCAAUACGCGAAAGCGUGACGGGGCCACCCCGAGUGCCGUCCGCUGAGGACGGCUUUUCCCCAGUGUAGACAGCUGGGGGAAUAAGGGGAGGGCAAGUCGGGUGUCAGCCGCCGCGGUAAUACCCGCUCCCCGAGUGGUGGGGACGCUUAUUGGGCCUAAAGCAUCCGUAGCCGGCUGGACAAGUCCCCUGUUAAAUCCAGCGAUUUAAUCGCUGGGCUGCGGGGGAUACUGUCCAGCUAGGGGGCGGGAGAGGCCGGCGGUAUUCCCGGGGUAGGGGUGAAAUCUUAUAAUCCCGGGAGGACCACCAGUGGCGAAGGCUGCCGGCUGGAACGCGCCCGACGGUGAGGGACGAAAGCUGGGGGAGCGAACCGGAUUAGAUACCCGGGUAGUCCCAGCUGUAAACGAUGCGGGCUAGGUGUUGGCACGGCUACAAGCCGUGUCAGUGCCGCAGGGAAGCCGUUAAGCCCGCCGCCUGGGGAGUACGGCCGCAAGGCUGAAACUUAAAGGAAUUGGCGGGGGAGCACCACAAGGGGUGAAGCUUGCGGUUUAAUUGGAGUCAACGCCGGG